GACGAACCGUGCGAACGUUGUUCGGAAUCACUGGGCUUAAAGGGCGCGUAGGCGGUUUGCCAAGUCAGGGGUGAAAUCCUGCAGCUCAACUGUAGAAGUGCCUUUGAUACUGGCGAACUCGAGGGAGGUAGGGGUGGGUGGAACUUCUGGUGGAGCGGUGAAAUGCGUUGAUAUCAGAAGGAACGCCGGUGGCGAAAGCGACCCACUGGACCUUUUCUAACGCUGAGGCGCGAAAGCUAGGGGAGCAAACGGG
rnacentral:rRNA from 1 species